UUCCCCAUUGUAUCCAUCCCCUGCGUGAGCUGUGAAGUGAGAGGUCGAGCUGAAAAAGAACACAAGCGGCGGAAGCUGAGCGGAGAACUCUGGAUGUGCCGUCUUGGUCUUGUUCCUCCGGUCUCCGGUCUCCAGCCGCAACCCCUCGUGGAUCUCGUUGCUCCGCCACCUCAAGGCCAGGGAUGUGGUGCCUCGACCUGGUUGAGCGCAACGGCGCCUCCCACGCCGGCGUGUUUCCCCCUUGCUAGUCAGACUGGCCGUAGCCUGGAUGGUCUCGGCGGAAGGCAACGUGUGAAUUUGGAGGAGGUACCUAGCGGGGCUAGCGCUGGUCUCACUCCCCGCGCUGGCGAGGAGGAGAUGCUGCGGCGGCGAGGUGGAGGAGAUGCGGCGGCGAGGUGUUCGUAUAAAUUUUGCAAACUAUUCAUGUACAUCUAGGCUGAUGGCAUGCCUGACGAAGCACAUAUGGAGGGGAUGGCAGGAUUGGAAGAAUUCCCACAAACGGGAUUGGAAGAAUUCCCACAAACGGUUUAAAAGCAAUUGCGAAGCGACUAUGAUCCAUCAUGAAGAAACAGUCAGAUUUCUUACCGUCCUUGAGUGAGACCCAUGGCCAUUAUCGUUCCCUGUAUUACUAGAAGAAGCCAUCCGCGACUUGUGUUGAUUGCCUCACUAUUCAAUUGGUUCCUUCUCUGUUCAAUUGGAGGACUAUUCAACUAGAUGAUAAUUUUCCUGUGUUGAUUCGCUUUCAACCUUUUCUAUUUGUUUACGGCAGAUCAGAUUUCUGAUUUUGGCGCGCUGC